rnacentral:lncRNA from 1 species
AUUAACUGUGUUUUCACCUGAUUCUUACUGGAAUGAAAACUGAAAUUAUUUCAUUGAGAUAAAUUAUUUCAAAGAGACAAACAGUCUCAGCGUUAAAAGAGAACCUACAGGCACUGGGCAAGUGCUUCCUAGGUGAACUUGAAGCCCACUAACUGAAAAGGCAGUAGGAGUCACCUGUUAUCCCAAGUGCCUUGUUAAAGGGGAAGGUUCAGAAGCAACACCCAUCACUGAGAGGCAAAAGAAAUGUAAUGCUCAAGAAGUGGUUUUCCCUUGAAUCAAGAAGAGGCAAAGAGUUUCAGAGGUACACAAGAGACUCAAAGACAAUGAGGACUUCAUGAAGUCUUAUCUCAAGUGCUAUGGUGCCAACAAACCAUAUGCCUUCAAAGAAAAAUAGAACCCCAGACUAAACAAGCAACAAGUAAACUAAACAGACUAAAUGACAACAAAAUAAUACGACUUCAUGUCCACAGCUAUCUAAAGUAGCUUAAAUUCAUAGGUUUCAAAAAUCAUGGAUUAAAAAUAUGGAAAAAUAAAGCAAAGAAAAUAAAGCAAAACUGUAUGAUUGCCAGAAGUCAUUCCUAAAAUAAGACAUUACUUUCUUCAGGGCCAACAGGGGAGAAGGAAUGGCUAAGCAUGAGAUUCACUGCUGAAUGAUAACAAAGGCUGUUUUAGGCAUGUGAUAUGACUUUGCCUUGCAGCCAUAUAUGUGAUUUCACAUGUGGAAGUGUUUGACAGUUUAUUAAGUGUCAAAUAAUCUAUUAGACCUGUGUUUUAAUGUUUACAAUUUCAUGAAGACAAAAGCAGUUUCUCUGUCAUUAAUGACUUUGUUUCAACACAUCAGCUUCUCAAUUUUCAAAGAAAAAAGCAUUAACAACUUUUAU